rnacentral:siRNA from 1 species
UAACGCGGUGGCUGACUUGUCAUC